rnacentral:rRNA from 1 species
UACGUAGGGUGCGAGCGUUAAUCGGAAUUACUGGGCGUAAAGCGUGCGCAGGCGGCUUGCCAAGUCAGAUGUGAAAGCCCCGGGCUCAACCCGGGAAUGGCGUUUGAAACUGGCAGGCUAGAGUUUGGCAGAGGGGGGUGGAAUUCCACGUGUAGCAGUGAAAUGCGUAGAGAUGUGGAGGAACACCGAUGGCGAAGGCAGCCCCCUGGGAUAACACUGACGCUCAUGCACGAAAGCGUGGGGAGCAAACAGG